rnacentral:lncRNA from 1 species
GCCAACGCGGCGGCGGGGAACCAGAAGCUGCAGGCGGCGCUGGACUGGGCGUGCGGCCCUGGCGGCGCAGACUGUAGGCCCUUGCAGCCCGGAGGGCGGUGCUUCGAGCCCAACACGCUGGAGGCCCACGCCUCUUACGCCAUGAACAGCUACUACCAGCAGCACGGCCGCGACGCCCCCUCUUGUGACUUCAACGGUGCCGCCCGCGUCGUCUACCAGCGCCCAAGUGAGUCCUUAAUUACGCUGAAUAGUUAGUCAUUAUCUGCGUUACAAUGAAAGUAGGAAAGGGCUAGGACCCGGGGACCGUCGAGUCCACUUCCACCAACAGAGUAAUUUGGAGGAUCCAUGACGGAUCUUCUCUCAAUAGGACUCAAAUCGGGCUUCGCCUUCUCCUAGAAGGCCUAAACUGACGCUCCCUCAGGAUAUACAUCACAGAUGGAGACAGAGACAGAUAGAGAAAUGCACGCUCUUGAAGAUCGGGUUUUGGCCCAGGCUGGUUUUUUCGUUUUAUUGGACUUGACUCUUGAAGUCCAAUCUCAGAUAAAAAACCCCUUAAAUCCUUAAAAUAUUAAAAUAUAUUGUGAAUUUAUUAUGUAGACAUUUUAUUUAGAAGUAAUUUUACAAAUCCCUUUUGUGAACGAUACCUUUCAGGAUAUGGCAAUUGCGAGUUCUAACCUCAAGACCAGCACCAAACGAAACCAAGGUGGCAUAAGUGCCAGAAUAAGUCGAGUGUCACAAAGAUUUUGUGCUACAUUUUCUCACUCGUAAGCACUUCAGUGGUCGGCAAUGAUACCUUCAUAUAUGUAAUGAAUAUCCAAAUAAUGCAACUCCAAAUUCAUGCUCUCUCUCUCUCUCUCUCUCAUCACAAUCAUCACUCCCA